rnacentral:rRNA from 1 species
GACGAACGCUGGCGGCGUGCUUAACACAUGCAAGUCGAACGGAAAGGCCUGCUUUCCCUUGUGGAUUGCGGGUACUCGAGUGGCGAACGGGUGAGUAACACGUGAGUGAUCUGCCCCCAACUUGGGUAUAAGCCUGGGAAACUGGGUCUAAUUCCCGAUAGGACUGCAGGGUGGUGCCUGUGGUGGAAAACGAUUUUCUAGUGGUUGGGGAUGAGCUCGCGGCCUAUCAGCUUGUUGGUGGGGUAAUGGCCUACCAAGGCGGCGACGGGUAGCCGGCCUGAGAGGGUGGACGGCCACAUUGGGACUGAGAUACGGCCCAGACCCCUACGGGAGGCAGCAGUUGGGAAUAUUGCACAAUGGGCGGAAGCCUGAUGCAGCGACGCCGCGUGGGGGAUGACGGCCUUCGGGUUGUAAACUCCUUUCGACCGCGAGGAAGCCACCUGGUUGGAAGGGUGGUGACGGUAGUGGUAGAAGAAGCACCGGCUAACUACGUG